UUAGAGUUUGAUCCUGGCUCAGGAUGAACGCUGGCGGCGUGCUUAACACAUGCAAGUCGAACGAAGCACCUUAUUCUGAUUUCUUCGGAAUGAAAAAUUUGGUGACUGAGUGGCGGACGGGUGAGUAACGCGUGGGUAACCUGCCUCAUACAGGGGGAUAACAGUUAGAAAUGACUGCUAAUACCGCAUAAGACCACAGCACCGCAUGGUGCAGGGGUAAAAACUCCGGUGGUAUGAGAUGGACCCGCGUCUGAUUAGGUAGUUGGUGGGGUAACGGCCUACCAAGCCGACGAUCAGUAGCCGACCUGAGAGGGUGACCGGCCACAUUGGGACUGAGACACGGCCCAAACUCCUACGGGAGGCAGCAGUGGGGAAUAUUGCACAAUGGGGGAAACCCUGAUGCAGCGACGCCGCGUGAGCGAUGAAGUAUUUCGGUAUGUAAAGCUCUAUCAGCAGGGAAGAAAAUGACGGUACCUGACUAAGAAGCACCGGCUAAAUACGUGCCAGCAGCCGCGGUAAUACGUAUGGUGCAAGCGUUAUCCGGAUUUACUGGGUGUAAAGGGAGCGUAGACGGAGUGGCAAGUCUGAUGUGAAAACCCGGGGCUCAACCCCGGGACUGCAUUGGAAACUGUCAAUCUAGAGUACCGGAGAGGUAAGCGGAAUUCCUAGUGUAGCGGUGAAAUGCGUAGAUAUUAGGAGGAACACCAGUGGCGAAGGCGGCUUACUGGACGGUAACUGACGUUGAGGCUCGAAAGCGUGGGGAGCAAACAGGAUUAGAUACCCUGGUAGUCCACGCCGUAAACGAUGACUACUAGGUGUCGGGCAGCAAAGCUGUUCGGUGCCGCAGCAAACGCAAUAAGUAGUCCACCUGGGGAGUACGUUCGCAAGAAUGAAACUCAAAGGAAUUGACGG
rnacentral:rRNA from 1 species